AUUGAACGCUGGCGGAAUGCUUUACACAUGCAAGUCGAACGGUAGAGGGGGCAACCCCUCGAGAGUGGCGAACGGGUGAGUAAUAUAUCGGAACGUGCCCAGUCGAGGGGGAUAACGUAGCGCAAGUUACGCUAAUACCGCAUACGAUCUAAGGAUAAAAGCGGGGGACCGAAAAACCUCGCGCGAUUGGAGCGGCCGAUAUCAGGUAAGGUAGUUGGUGGGGUAAAGGCCCACCACGCCAACGACCUGUAGCUGGGCUGAGAGGAGCCUCAGCCACACUGGAACUGAGCCACGGUCCAGACUCCUACGGGAGGCAGCAGUGGGGAAUUUUGGACAAUGGACGCAAGUCUGAUCCAGCCAUUCCGCGUGCAGGAUGAAGGCCCUCGGGUUGUAAACUGAUUUUGUACGGAACGAAAAGGUCUCUCUUAAUACGGGGGGCUCAUGACGGUACCGUAAGAAUAAGCACCGGCUAACUACGUGCCAGCCGCCGCCGUAA
rnacentral:rRNA from 1 species